UUUUAAGAGUGUUGGUAUAGGUUAUAGCCAGCGCUCUUUUGUAUAGCUUUUCCUUUCCCUUCAUUUUUUUCCUCCGCUGAAAAGUUAGUGAAAUUAAAUAUUUGGCCUAAACUACGUCGGUUUUUGGGGCCAUUAACACCAUUGUUUGGUUUGUAUUCCAUUUUCCCAUUUCAUUUUGCAAUUACACGAGCCCUAACCUCUCCUUCAGCCGCUCUCUCUCCUUCCAUUACAGGUCAUGGCCCAAUCUUUGAAUCCGUUUUGUUUUCCAUCACAGCUCUCUCUCCUUCCAUCACCAGUCAUCACAACUCUCUCCUUCCAUCAGUUUUGUUGUAUUCAGCUUUCUUAUUCGGAAUAUGGAUAUGUAGGCGAUUAUUGGCGACGACAGUUUUCCCGUGGCAGGAAAGUUGGAAAAGUAGAGAGGAUCAGCAUUGAUGAGUAGUAGUUGGGACUGUUAGAGUAAGCCGCAACUCCAUUCCAAAAGCAAAAAGGAGUGUCCAGUAGUAGUUGUGAUUUCUGCACAGUAAAGACAGUUGACGUUGACGUUGACGUUUCCAGUUAGCCAAAAAACUAAGAAACUGCACUCAAAGGGAACAUUUUAAGCAUGAGCCCCCUGCUUGCAGCUCCAGGACAGUGCUACAUCGAACUUUGAUCACUAUAUAUUAUAAUGAAAUGGAUUUUUUUCUUCAUAGUAUUAUAAUUUUUUUGUUGUUCUGGUGAUCAAUUUGACAGAGUAUAUCAUUCAUACCGAUCUUCUCUAUUUUCUUGUUUCCAGACUUCAGUAUUGUUUUCCUCAUGUUCUUUUUUUGCACUUAGGCAUCCAAAACAUAUACUAAGGCUGAAGUUUCCUUGCAUAACUAGAGGACUGAUUGUUGGAUCAUCAUCAAAGAAAAGGUUCAUCAAUACUGAAGGUUAAAAACUUGCUUCAUUUAGUAGAUUUAUCAGUACAUUAUUCUUCUUUGCCAAGGGGACUAAUUAAUUACACGUACAUAUGAUCUUUUAUAUAUAUAGCUGAUCAUACAUUUUGAUUGUUUUGACACCAAUUAUUGCUUGGUGCUGGAGACAACAUUACACAACUUCUUUUGUAGAAACUAAAUUGCCCAGGUACGUAAUAUUACUUGUUUUCUUCCCUUUUUCUUUUUUAGUUUGGAUACGUUUGUUGCACUAUGUGUUUUGAUUCUUCAUAUUUGUGCAUAAAAAUAUAAUCUACAUUGCUUGGUCAAUAUAUAUAUAUUUUAAUCUCUUUAUGUCAGUGUGGAAACUUAAUUCCCCAGGUAAUAUUACUUGGUUUCUUUUUUGUAUGAUUUAGUUUGUAUAUGUUUGCUGCACUAUGUGUUUUCAUUCUUCAUAUUUGUUGAUAGAAAUAUAAUAUAUAUUGCUUAGUCAGUAUAUUUUGAUCUAUAUACUAAAAUCAAGUUUAUUUUCCAGCACUUGAUCAUUUUAGAUAUUAGGCUGGUUUUGGUGUUUUAUUUAGUCCUUUAAGAUUGAAGUGGCUUUGAGCUGGACUUAGUUGAUAUCACUUGUAAAAUGGUUCUUAGUAAUAUAUCUCCUGAUCUAAACUACUAAUGGCCUUAAAAGAUUUUGGCAAGUAUAAGAGAUUCCCCCAAACACCCACACCUGCGCCCCCAACCCCCCCCCACCAC